rnacentral:rRNA from 1 species
UACAGGGGGGGCAAGCGUUGUUCGGAAUUACUGGGCGUAAAGGGCUCGUAGGCGGCCAACUAAGUCAGACGUGAAAUCCCUCAGCUUAACUGGGGAACUGCGUCUGAUACUGGAUGGCUUGGAUUCGGGAGAGGAAUGCGGAAUUCCAGGUGUAGCGGUGAAAUGCGUAGAUAUCUGGAGGAACACCGGUGGCGAAGGCGGCAUUCUGGACCGAUAUUGACGCUGAGGAGCGAAAGCCAGGGGAGCAAACGGG